AUAAGAGUGAAGGAAGUUGAAGGUGGUGCAGGGCAUUGCCUAAACGGCGCAGGCCAUGAGCACAUUGCAGGAGAUCUAGAAGCAGCGCUAAGACUAUUGAACCAAGCUCAUGAGGCACUGAUUGCAGACAAGGAUAAGGAAAUUUCUGCACUAAUUGCAGAAAAGGACCUCGUGCGAGAGCAGUUUACGACACUGGAGCGGGACUAUGCUGACCUUCGUAGCUACAGCAGUAAACAAGCAGCACAAGUUACUGAAGCAAAGCAAGAGCUUGAGCAGCUGCAAGUGGCAUCCCAAAAGAAGGACGCGCGAGCACGAGCAAAAUCAGUUGAAGCCAAAAGGAAGGUGCUUCCUAAGGAUAAGCGACAGGAGAUGACCUGUAUGCCCAAGGAGACAGAUGGGCAAAUUGAAAAAUGCAAAGAUGGGCAGCCUGAGACUAGUGAAAAGUGCAACAAGGAUACGAGUGAGACACACACAAAAAAUUGUUCACAAGGUCCUGGUUUAAGGGGGCAAGAAAUGAAAAUUUGUUCUUCUAAGCAAAUGCUAGCAAAAGAUGGGCAACCUCAGACUAGCCUGAAGCGCAAGUGCGUCACUUCCUCAUUACCAAAUUAUAAUGAGCAGAAUGCAAAUGAUGAGGAAAAGAGUAAUCAAGUUCUAGAGCCUCUCAACAAGAAGAGGGUACCAGAGAAAGGGGAAGUGGAGCAAGAUGACGGUAAGGUCAAACUCGCCAACGGCCUGCCCAGCAGUCGAUGA
rnacentral:rRNA from 1 species